rnacentral:rRNA from 1 species
GAUGAACGCUGGCGGCGUGCUUAACACAUGCAAGUCGAGCGAUGAAGUUUCCUUCGGGAAACGGAUUAGCGGCGGACGGGUGAGUAACACGUGGGUAACCUGCCUCAUAGAGUGGAAUAGCCUUCCGAAAGGAAGAUUAAUACCGCAUAAUGUUGAAAGAUGGCAUCAUCAUUCAACCAAAGGAGCAAUCCGCUAUGAGAUGGACCCGCGGCGCAUUAGCUAGUUGGUGGGGUAACGGCCUACCAAGGCGACGAUGCGUAGCCGACCUGAGAGGGUGAUCGGCCACAUUGGGACUGAGACACGGCCCAGACUCCUACGGGAGGCAGCAGUGGGGAAUAUUGCACAAUGGGGGAAACCCUGAUGCAGCAACGCCGCGUGAGUGAUGAAGGUUUUCGGAUCGUAAAGCUCUGUCUUUGGGGAAGAUAAUGACGGUACCCAAGGAGGAAGCCACGGCUAACUACGUGCCAGCAGCCGCGGUAAUACGUAGGUGGCGAGCGUUAUCCGGAUUUACUGGGCGUAAAGGGAGCGUAGGCGGAUGAUUAAGUGGGAUGUGAAAUACCCGGGCUCAACUUGGGUGCUGCAUUCCAAACUGGUUAUCUAGAGUGCAGGAGAGGAGAGUGGAAUUCCUAGUGUAGCGGUGAAAUGCGUAGAGAUUAGGAAGAACACCAGUGGCGAAGGCGACUCUCUGGACUGUAACUGACGCUGAGGCUCGAAAGCGUGNGGAGCAAACAGG